rnacentral:rRNA from 1 species
GAUGAACGCUGACAGAAUGCUUAACACAUGCAAGUCGAGGGGGAAGUGGUGCUUGCACCCUGGUAACCAUGGCGGACGGGUGAGUAACGCGUAAGGAACUUGCCUGCGGGACUGGGAUAACAGCAGGAAACUGCUGUUAUUACCCGAUCAGGUCAUUAAGCUGCAUAGCUUAGUGUUGAAAGGAGACGCCUGCGGAGAGCCUUGCGUGCUAUUAGCUAGUUGUGGGGGUAACGACCCACCAAGGCGAAGAGAGUAAGCAGACCUGAGAGGAUGGACGGCCACGAGGGGACUGAGAUACAGCCCUGACUCCUACGGGAGGCAGCAGUAGGGAAUAUUGGACAAUGGGGGCAACCCUGAUGCAGCAAUUCUGUGUGCACAGAGACGGUUUUCGGAUUGUAAAGUGCUUUCAGCAGAGAAGAAGGAAGUGACGUUACCUGCAGAAGAAGCGACGGCUAAAUACGUG